GACGUCGAUAUUCGAAGUCAUAAUCACGAUCAACUUUGGUGUUUAUGAUGUCGAUAUUCGACGUCAAAAACACAAUCGACUUUGGUGUUUUUGACGUCGAUAUUCGAUUUCAUAAAUUCAUUCAACUUUGGUGCGGACCUUUGGGUGGAAAAAAAUGAAAUUUUUUUUUAAAAUUCGUCGAUAUUCGACGUCAGAAAAACGAUCAACUGAGAUGUUUAUGACGUCGAUAUUCGACGUCAUAAACACGAUCAACUUUGGUGUUUAUGACGUCGAUAUUCAACGUC
rnacentral:miRNA from 1 species